rnacentral:rRNA from 1 species
UACGGAGGGUGCAAGCGUUAUCCGGAUUCACUGGGUUUAAAGGGUGCGUAGGUGGGUCUGUAAGUCCGUGGUGAAAUCUCCGAGCUUAACUUGGAAACUGCCAUGGAUACUAUAGGUCUUGAAUACUGUGGAGGUCAGCGGAAUAUGUCAUGUAGCGGUGAAACGCUUAGAUAUGACAUAGAACACCAAUUGCGAAGGCAGCUGGCUACACAAAUAUUGACACUGAGGCACGAAAGCGUGGGGAUCAAACAGG